UAGAGUUUGAUCCUGGCUCAGAUUAAACGCUGGCGGCAUGGCUAAAGCAUGCAAGUCGCACGAGAACUCGCCCUCGGGCGGGGGACAGUGGCGAAAGGGCGAGUAACGCGCUUCUUAUGUGCCCCAAGGUGGAGGAUAGGUCAGGGAAACUUGGCGUAAUACUUCAUGUGCUCUUCGGAGGAAAGGCUUCGGCCGCCUUGGGAGCAGGAAGCGUCCUAUCAGGUUGUUGGUGAGGUAAAGGCUCACCAAGCCUCAGACGGGUAGCGGGUGUGAGAGCGUGACCCGCCGCAUCGGGACUGAGACACUGCCCGGACUCCUACGGGAGGCUGCAGCGACGAAUCUUCCGCAAUGCACGAAAGUGUGACGGAGCAAUGCCGCGUGCGGGAUGAAGCGGCUCCGCCGUGUAAACCGCUGUCAGGGGUCCGAAAUACUGAUCAACCCCAAAGGAAGGGCCGGCUAACCUCGUGCCAGCAGCCGCGGUAAUACGAGGGGCCCGAGCGUUAUCCGGAAUCACUGGGCUUAAAGGGUGCGUAGGCGGAUGCGCAAGCGUCCUGUGAAAUCCCUCGGCUCAACCGAGGAACUGCAGGGCGAACUGCGUGUCUUGGGACAGAUAGGGGCCGUCGGAACGAUCGGUGGAGCGGUGAAAUGCAUAGAUAUCAAUCGGAACGCCGAAGGAGAAGUCGGGCGGCUAGGCCUGUUCUGACGCUGAGGCACGAAAGCGUGGGGAGCGAACGGGAUUAGAUACCCCGGUAGUCCACGCCCUAAACGAUGCGCACUAGAUCGAGGCGGUUUCGAAGCCGUCUCGGUCGUAGAGAAAUCAUUAAGUGCGCCGCCUGGGGAGUACGGUCGCAAGGCUAAAACUCAAAGGAAUUGACGGGGGCUCACACAAGCGGUGGAGCAUGUUGCUUAAUUCGAAGCAACGCGAAGAACCUUACCUGGGUUUGACAUGCAUGGAUUAGCUUUUUGAAACAAGAGUGACGCUUUCGAGUGGAACAUGCACAGGUGCUGCAUGGCUGUCGUCAGCUCGUGCUGUGAAGUGUCGGGUUAG
rnacentral:rRNA from 1 species